rnacentral:misc_RNA from 1 species
GAUGAAGAACGCAGCGAAAUGCGAUAAGUAAUGCGAAUUGCAGAAUUUCCGUGAGUCAUCGAAUCUUUGAACGCACAUUGCGCCCAUUGGUAUUCCGAUGGGCAUGCCUGUUCGAGCGUCAUUAUCUUCCCUCAAACCUCGCGUUUGGUGUUGGGCCGUGCUGGUUCCUGCGUGACCAACUGGCCUCAAAGACAAUGACGGCGUCCGUGGGACCCUCGAUGCAACGAGCUUCUCAGGAGCACGCGUCGAGUUUCAAGGACCUUCCGGGCCGGUCUACCCUUUAUCUUUCUAAGGUUGACCUCGGAUCAGGUAGGAAUACCCGCUGAACUUAAGCAUAUCAAUAAGCGGAGGA